UCGGGAAUUUUGGGCAAUGGGCGAAAGCCUGACCCAGCAACGCCGCGUGAAGGAUGAAGUAUUUCGGUAUGUAAACUUCGAAAGAAUGGGAAGAAUAAAUGACGGUACCAUUUAUAAGCUCCGGCUAACUACGUGCCAGCAGCCGCGGUAAUACGUAGGGAGCAAGCGUUGUUCGGAUUUACUGGGCGUAAAGGGCGCGUAGGCGGCGUGUUAAGUCAGCUGUGAAAUCUCUGAGCUCAACUCAGAACGGCCAGCUGAUACUGAUGUGCUAGAGUGCAGAAGGGGCAACCGGAAUUCUUGGUGUAGCGGUGAAAUGCGUAGAUAUCAAGAGGAACACCUGAGGCGAAGGCGGGUUGCUGGGCUGACACUGACGCUGAGGCGCGAAAGCCAGGGGAGCAAACGG
rnacentral:rRNA from 1 species